UAGGGAAUCUUCGGCAAUGGGGGGAACCCUGACCGAGCAACGCCGCGUGAGUGAAGAAGGUUUUCGGAUCGUAAAGCUCUGUUGUUAAGGAAGAACGAGCGUGAGAAUGGAAAGUUCAUGCUGUGACGGUACUUAACCAGAAAGGGACGGCUAACUACGUGCCAGCAGCCGCGGUAAUACGUAGGUCCCGAGCGUUGUCCGGAUUUAUUGGGCGUAAAGCGAGCGCAGGCGGUUAGAAAAGUCUGAAGUGAAAGGCAGUGGCUCAACCAUUGUAGGCUUUGGAAACUGUUUAACUUGAGUGCAGAAGGGGAGAGUGGAAUUCCAUGUGUAGCGGUGAACUGCGUAGAUAUAUGGAGGAACACCGGUGGCGAAAGCGGCUCUCUGGUCUGUAACUGACGCUGAGGCUCGAAAGCGUGGGGAGCGAACAGG
rnacentral:rRNA from 1 species